UUUGUGAGCAGUUAAGUGGUGAUUUCGAGAGAAUGAUUUACCACAAAUAUCACACUGAUAUGGUUUCUCCCCUGUAUGAAUACGUUUAUGUUUAGUUAAGUUUAGUAUGUCAGAGAAUGAUUUACCACAGAUAUCACACUGAUAUGGUU